UUGAAAACUGAGUCUUCUCAUCAAAACCUGAUUGUGCGGUUGACCCUUGAACAACAGGGGUUUGAAAUGCGAGGAUCCGCUUUUGCAUGGAUUUUCUUCCUCCUCUGCCACCCCUAACAGAGCAAGACUAACCCCUCCUCUUCCUCCGCUUCAGCCCACUCAAUGUGAAGACGAUGAGGAUGAAAGCCUUCCUGAUGAUCCACUUCCACUUAAUAAACAGCAAAUGCCCUCUUCCAGACACCAUGGAAAAAUGUAAGAAUGGAUCAGACUGAGUCUUCUCUCAAGGAACUACAAAUCCUGAAUCCAUGAGAAGGCAAAGACUUUUUUGAUAUUGCUGAAUUACACUGGAAGACUGGGUGGCUUCUAUCACUUCUUCUCACGAAGACGUCUGGAGGCAGAGCAAGAAACUGGAGAUUUCCCUUUGACGGCAACGAAGGCAACUGGCUGGUGGUGGAGGACAAGCCUGGAGUACUAUCACUUGGAUGGUCUCUGCUGCGAUGUAGAAGGCUUAAUUAAAUCACUGGAAUAGGGGCAGCAAUUCAGUCCUUGUCCAUAUACCGGGAGCUCAGCUGAAAAUCCAUGUCCUCUGGGGAAGAGUAGAAACAAAAUCCAUCUGCCUGUAGAAGGGUAGGUAAACCUCUUGUAUGUCAGGACACAGACAAAGGUUUAUUGCUGCUAGGGAAGUGGGGGACAAAGGGAACGUACUGGUUCGCUAAGGUUGUCGUAACAAACUACUAGAGACUGGGUGGCUUAAAUAACAGAAAUUUAUGCUUUCAGAGUUCUGGAGGAGGUCCAAGAUCAAUUGGCAGGUUUGAUUUCUUCUGAGGUCUCUCUCCUUGGCCUGAAAACAGCCAUCUUCUGUGUUCUCACAUGGCCACAUCUGCCCAGGUGCACAUCCCUGGGGUCUCUACAAGUCCAAAUUUCAUUUCCUUAUAAGGACACCUGUCAGAUUGCAUUAAGGCCCAUCCUAACAACCUCAUUUUAAGUUAAUGUCCUCUUCGAAGGCUCUGUCUGCAAAUACAGCAGCAUUCUGAAGUACUGAGGGUUAGGGCUUUGACAUACUAAUUUUGAGGAAGACAAAAUUCAAUUCUUAACAGGAGAGAAACUAUAACUCCCAAUCCUUAGAAAGAGCAGAAAAUUGUCUUGUCUGGGAUCCUAAAUCCAGAAGAGAUCUAUUAAUGCUGGGUUAGGUCAUAGAACUCUCUCCUCCUUAAGACCAAUGCCACAGUGAGGAUACCUGGGAGUGGUGAAGUACCACCCCCGAGGGCCAGUCACACACACAGGCCAGAAGGAGACCGACCCACCCCCGAGGGCCAGUCACACACAUAGGCCAAAAGGAGACCGACCUACCCCCAAGGGCCAGUCACACACACAGGCCAGAAGGAGACCCAGCCCCCAGGGCCAAGAAGGAGACCACAGAACUCCCUCCAUUGCUGCUCCACCCUAAAUCUAGCACCUUGUGGGGAUAGAAAGUGAAGAGAGACUAAGGUUUUUACCUUAGACAUGCAGGUGUUGCUGAACAUGAGGGUGGAGCAUGAGCACAGAAAAAAACCUCUAGUGCCUUAGUCUGUACUCAAAGCUCAAGAUAACAAUAGCCAAUUGCUAGAAGAUUUGAAGUCUGGUAAACUAAAGAGCAUGAGAACAGAAACAAAGACGUAAGCUUCUGAUUAAAAUAUCUCAAACCCACGCACUAAAACCAUGACUAAAGAAGAGGUAUAUGCUCAUUUGUACACAUAAAUACUAUUUACUUCAGCCUCUGCUGUUCUAUGUAUGAUAUCCAGCAUUCAAUAAAAAUCUACCAGGGCCAGGUGCUAUGGUGGCAUGCACCUGUAAUCCAAGCACUUCGGGAGGCUGAGUUGGGAGGAUCGCUUGAGCCAGGAGUUGGAGGCUGCAGCAAGUCAUCAUUGUGCCACUGCACUCCUGUCUAGAUGACAGAAGGAGACCCAGUCUCUUAGAAUGAAUGAAUGAAUAAAUAAAUAAAUACAGCUAUUUAUCAGACAGAUUAAAAAACAAGGAAAACAAUCCAUCAUGAGGAGAUAAAGUAAUCAAAAGGUCCAGUUUUGAAGUGACUGAGAUGUUGAAAUUAUCUGAUAAAGAAUUUUAAAUAACUAUAAUUCACAAGAAGCUUAUGGAAAAGUAAACACACAUGAGAAGAAGGGGAAUUUUAGCAGAUAAGAAGAAAUCAUUUCUAAAAAGUCCAAUGAAGACAUUAAAAAUAAAAUGUAGGAUAUCAGAGGUGAAAAAGUCCUGCAAUGGGCUCAUCAGCUGGCUAAGUGUAGCUGAGAAAAUAAUAAAUAAACUUGAACAUGGGUCAGUAGAAAUGAUCCAGACUGAAGCUCAAAGAUAAAAACUAAAAACAAACCCAAAACAGACUGAGCUCUCAGGAGCUUCAGGACAAUAUCAAAUGGUCUAACAUAUACGAAACUGGAGUCCCAAAAGAAGAAGAAGACAGAGAAUGGAACAGAAUAAAAAUAUGCAGAGAAAACAGCCAGACAUUUUUUUCUUUUUUUUUCUAGACACCGGAAAAGGCAAGGAUUGUUUUUUGAAAUUUUUCAAAAUUAAUGGAAAAAAUAUAAGCCACAGAUCUAUGAAGCUCAAAGAGCCCUAAGCAGGGUAAAUUUCUGAAA